AUUGAACGCUGGCGGCAUGCUUUACACAUGCAAGUCGAACGGUAACAGAGAAGCUUGCUUCUGCUGACGAGUGGCGAACGGGUGAGUAAUGCAUCGGAACGUACCGAGUAAUGGGGGAUAACCAUCCGAAACGGUAGCUAAUACCGCAUAACGUCUUCGGACCAAAGUGGGGGACCUUCGGGCCUCACACCAUCCGAUGUGCCCAGAUGGGAUUAGCUAGUAGGUGGGGUAAUGGCUCACCUAGGCGACGAUCGCUAGCUGGUCUGAGAGGAUGACCAGCCACACUGGAACUGAGACACGGUCCAGACUCCUACGGGAGGCAGCAGUGGGGAAUAUUGCACAAUGGGCGCAAGCCUGAUGCAGCCAUGCCGCGUGUUUGAAGAAGGCCUUCGGGUUGUAAAGUACUUUCAGCGGGGAGGAAGGCGUUAAGGUUAAUAACCUUGGCGAUUGACGUUACCCGCAGAAGAAGCACCGGCUAACUCCGUGCCAGCCGCCGCAGUAACAC
rnacentral:rRNA from 1 species